CCUACGGGUGGCAGCAGUGAGGAAUAUUGGUCAAUGGACGCAAGUCUGAACCAGCCAUGCCGCGUGCAGGACGAAGGCUCUAUGCAUUGUAAACUGCUUUUGUACGGGGGCAAACGCAGAUACGCGUAUCUGUCCGAAAGUAUCGUACGAAUAAGGAUCGGCUAACUCCGUGCCAGCAGCCGCGGUAAUACGGAGGAUUCAAGCGUUAUCCGGAUUUAUUGGGUUUAAAGGGUGCGUAGGCGGUCGGUUAAGUUAGAGGUGAAAUCCCGAGGCUCAACUUCGGAAUUGCCUUUGAUACUGGUCGGCUAGAGAGGAGUAGCGGUAGGCGGAAUGUGUGGUGUAGCGGUGAAAUGCUUAGAGAU
rnacentral:rRNA from 1 species